rnacentral:rRNA from 1 species
CCUACGGGAGGCAGCAGUAGGGAAUAUUGGGCAAUGGAGGCAACUCUGACCCAGCCAUGCCGCGUGCAGGAAGAAGGCGUUAUGCGUUGUAAACUGCUUUUAUAUAGGAAGAAAUAGUCCUUGCGAGGAAAGUUGACGGUACUAUAUGAAUAAGCACCGGCUAACUCCGUGCCAGCAGCCGCGGUAAUACGGAGGGUGCAAGCGUUGUCCGGAUUUAUUGGGUUUAAAGGGUGCGUAGGCGGUUUAUUAAGUCAGUGGUGAAAGACGGUCGCUCAACGAUUGCAGUGCCAUUGAUACUGGUAGACUUGAGUGGGAUUGAGGUAGCCGGAAUGGAUAGUGUAGCGGUGAAAUGCAUAGAUAUUAUCCAGAACACCAAUUGCGUAGGCAAGUUACUAAGUCUCAACUGACGCUGAGGCACGAAAGUGUGGGUAUCAAACAGGAUUAGAUACCCUGGUAGUCCACACUGUAAACGAUGAUAACUAACUGUUGGCUUUCGGGUCAGUGGUACAGAGAAAUCGUUAAGUUAUCCACCUGGGGAGUCGCCGGCAACGGUGAACUUAAAUGAAAUUGACGGCGUGAGAGNGCGAGACGACGACGAGGGAGGAGG